GAUCUGGUCAGGACGAACGCUGGCGGCGUGCCUAACACAUGCAAGUCGAACGGAGUAAGAAUUCGGUUUUACUUAGUGGCGAACGGGUGAGUAACGCGUGAACAACCUGCCUUCCCUGAGGGGGGAUAACACCUGGAAACAAGUGCUAAUACCGCAUAAGACCACAUGUCCGCAUGGACGAGGGGUCAAAGGAGCAAUCCGCAGGGAGAGGGGUUCGCGUCCCAUUAGCUAGUUGGCGGGGCAACGGCCCACCAAGGCGACGAUGGGUAGCCGAGCUGAGAGGCUGAUCGGCCACACUGGAACUGAGACACGGUCCAGACUCCUACGGGAGGCAGCAGUGGGGAAUAUUGGGCAAUGGGCGCAAGCCUCGACCCAGCAACGCCGCGUGAGGGAAGGAGGGUCUUCGGAUUAGUAAACCUCUGUCCUAUGUGACGAAGGAAGUGACGGUAGCAUAGGAGGAACGCCCCGGCUAACUACGUGCCAGCAGCCGC
rnacentral:rRNA from 1 species